AGAGUUAAUCCAGCAAGACAACAGUUGAGUAAAUAUGCCAUGCAGGAAUUCAGAGUUUUGUGUGUGGAAACCAAACUGAAAAUAAUGAUGGCUCCAAUUAUAUGUAAGAGGAAGAAGUGAUAUAUUGUGAAAGAUCCUGGAAUGUUCAACUUUAUUUAGAAACUAUUGGAUAAAUACGGACAGAAUUUACACCAGAAACCAGUAUCAUCUUGUCUUGUAAUUGGAAACUAUAUGUAAACUGCAGAAACUUGAGAACAACAUAAAAAGCCAAGAUCAACAAUA